AGGGAAGGAGGGGGGUAGGCCUAACACAUGCAAGUCGAACGGCAGCACCGUAAUUGCUUGCGUUUUCGGGUGGCGAGUGGCGGACGAGCGCGGGAGACAUCGGAACUUAAUUUUGCGAGGGGGUUAACGUAGGGGAACUUACGCCAAAACCGCAUACGACCUACGUGGGGGAGCAUGGGAACUUUCGACCUUGGGCGAUGGAAUGACGGCAGGUCGGAUUGGUUGGGUGGCGGGGUAAAGGCCCACCAAGGCGACGAUCCGUAGCUGGUCUGAUAGGAUGAUCAGCCACACUGGAACGGAGACACGGUCCAGACUCCUACGGGAGGCAGCAGUGGGGAAUAUUGGGCAAUGGGCGCAAGCCUGAUCCAGCCAUCCCGCGUGUGUGAAGAAGGCCUUCGGGUUGUAAAGCCCUUUUGUUGGGAAAGAACAGCAGUAGGUUAAUACCCAGCUGUUCUGACGGUACCGAAAGAAUAAGCACCGGCUAACUUCGUG
rnacentral:rRNA from 1 species